ACAAUGUAUACAAAUUUGGGAAGCCCUGUGCCCUCUGGUGUCAUAUAUUGCUAUCAAUACGUGCGUAAACUUCCAUCCGUUCAUCGAUCCGUCGACACUUACCCUAGUCGUCAGUGUAGUUGAUUAUAUUCUUUGUGUCGUACCCAUUCCGUCGUUUUCGAUUUACGAAGUUCUAUCGUCACUACGAAUAACGUAAGUAAACGCCUAUAUUUAUUGUUAUGUUCCAGCUGUAUUAACCUUCUAACGUAAUCACACAAGUAUUUUCGAACGAGAAUACUCAUAUCGUAAAUAAUUUCUUUACUUUAAUCUCCUGGAAUUCAUCUAUUCCUAUAUAUUACUUACUACAAUUGACUAUCUACUAAAACAAGAAUAAUCAUAUUGGUACGCACCUAAAUGUUCAUUACCUAUCCACCGUAGGUUAAUAAUAUUCUAAUGUAAUAGAGUAAUCAUAAUACGUGAGUUAAUAGGUAUCCAUAUUUUUCCUAUACUUACAUGCAAAUUCAUAUGUUAUCAGAGUGUAUGUUUUUAGUAUAAUAUAAUAUUUAUUAAAAAUGAUUCUCAUUCUUCAAGAUUUAUUAUUAAUUAUUCUUCAAAGUUAAACUUAAUAUCCUUAAUAGUCUCAAAAUUAUAUUGAAGAUGCGAACAUAUACUAGUGAUUUGUGUUUUUAUUGCUUGAUGCUUGCCGUUCACUUUAGAUUUAAAAUAUAAUAAUUUCGUGUCCGAGUAUUUCUUAUGGUCCAAAUAAUUUAAGAACAUGGACCGAACCGUGAUAAGGUUUGGUUUGGAACAGUUGUAUACAAAUUUGAGAAGCCCUGGGGCCUCUGGUAUCAAAUAUUGCUAUCCAUACGUGCGUAUACUUCCAUCCGUUCAUCGAUCCGUCGACACUUACCCUAGUCGUCAGUGUAGUUGAUUAUAUUCUUUGUGUCGUACCCAUUCCGCCGUUGUCGUUUUACGAAGUUCUAUCGUCACUACGAAUAACGUAAGUAAACGCCUAUAUUUAUUGUUAUGUUCCAGCUGUAUUAACCUUCUAACGUAAUCACACAAGUAUUUUCGAACGAGAAUACUCAUAUCGUAAAUAAUUUCUUUACUUUAAUCUCCUGGAAUUCAUCUAUUCCUAUAUAUUACUUACUACAAUUGAUAAUCUGCUAAAACAAGAAUAAUCUUAUUGGUACGCACCUAAAUGUUCAUAACCUAUCCACCGUAGUUUAAAAAUAUUCUAAUGUAAUAGAGUAAUCAUAAUACGUGAGUUAAUAGGUAUCCAUAUUUUUCCUAUACUUACAUGCAAAUUCAUAUGUUAUCAGAGUGUCCCGUGUAUUUCUUAUAACCUAAAAAUUCUAUGACUAUGCACUGAUCCUUGAUAAGGUUUGAUUUGGAACAUUUGUCACUAUCAGUACUCCAUGACGUAUCACUAAAAUCGUCUAUAUCGUGGUUGCUGUCGGUAUUGUUUUGUUUAUGUUACCAGUAACCAAUAUUUCAAUUUACAUCCGUUCAUCGAUCGGUUGAUUCUUAUGGAAGUUGCUAGUGUUAGUGACUAGUUGCAACUGCUAUCCGUUAUUGUGUUUGUCUUUAUUGUUUUAUGGUGUAUUUCGCAGCGUUCCAUAAUUCAAUCGUCACCGCUAUUAACGUAAGUAAAAUCCUAUCGGUACUCGUGUUAAUUUCCAUCCGUUCCUCGAUUCCGUGUCGACUUUUACUCUUGCGAUUAGUGUAUUUUUU
rnacentral:lncRNA from 1 species